rnacentral:lncRNA from 1 species
AGGUCAAGAGUUACCAAUACCAAGACAUCAAACUGCACAGAGAUUGGACCUAGAGCAGCAGGAGGUAGUAUAUAAAACACCAAUACUAGAGGGAAUUAGGAGAGGGAGCAGAAAAAUGAUUCAUCUAAGUGGAGAACAAAGAUAAUUGCAAAAUUGGCAUGGAGAACUAAGGGAGUCAAGCCCUCUGGAGAAGGCAAAAAUAAAGCAUGAGAAGGGAGAAGAGCAUGAAGGUUGGCU